CAUGGAAGAUAUUAUGAUCAACUCUGUGCACCAUCACUAAGCAAAAUGUCAUUAGGUAUGAUUUACAGAACAUGAUUACAGUGAGGACAGAACCAGUUGAUGAGAUAUAUAGUGGAAGAUUAGAGCAGCCUGGCGGAGGAGCUAGCUCUUCUGGAGGGCUUACAAGCACAUGCUUUGUGGUUUUUUUUUCCCCUUGAAUACUGCUUAAGCAAACCAGCACUUGGAGAACAUCUGGAAUCCAGGACAAAUGGUUUGAUCAAAUGAUCCAUUUUGGCGACAUGUUGAAGAUAUGAAUGAUAGUAGUGUGAGUUUUGUGGGCAUCCAUUUGCCAAGGAUACUUCCAUUUCGAGGAUCAAAUGGCAUUUGUCAGGAGUGAAAGGG